rnacentral:rRNA from 1 species
UACAGAGGUCUCAAGCGUUGUUCGGAUUCAUUGGGCGUAAAGGGUGCGUAGGCGGCGCGGUAAGUCGGGUGUGAAAUUUCGAGGCUUAACUUCGAAACUGCAUUCGAUACUGCCGUGCUUGAGGACUGGAGAGGAGACUGGAAUUUACGGUGUAGCGGUGAAAUGCGUAGAUAUCGUAAGGAAGACCAGUGGCGAAGGCGGGUCUCUGGAACGUUCCUGACACUGAGGCACGAAAGCGUGGGGAGCAAACAGG